UCAAACAUGGUAACUAGAAAAUGGAAGACUUAACAUCUUUUUAGGCAAGAGGGCCCUGACUCUGCUCCCUCUUUACAUGCUGGAUCUCACAUAGGCACAAAUGAGAUUUCACUCUGCAGACAAGGGAGGCACCUCGGGAGAGCAGAACAAUCAAGAUGGAAGAAACCAGAACACUUGAACGACCUUGUGAAGCAGAGCUGUCCCUCUGGCCUGGAGCAAGCAGACUGCCGUAUAAGAGAGAAAUACAUUUCUAUCCUAUUUAA